rnacentral:rRNA from 1 species
UACGGGGGGGGCAAGCGUUGUUCGGAAUUACUGGGCGUAAAGGGCUUGUAGGCGGCCAACUAAGUCAGACGUGAAAUCCCUCAGCUUAACUGGGGAACUGCGUCUGAGACUGAUUGGCUCGAGGACAGGAGAGGAACGCGGAAUUCCAGGUGUAGCGGUGAAAUGCGUAGAUAUCUGGAGGAACACCGGUGGCGAAGGCGGCGUUCUGGACUGUGUCUGACACUGAAUAACGAAAGCCAGGGGAGCAAACGGG